rnacentral:misc_RNA from 1 species
UCUCCGUAGGUGAACCUGCGGAGGGAUCAUUACAGAGUUCUCGCCCUCACGGGUAGAUCUCCCACCCACUGUUAUCGUUACUGUGUUGCUUUGGCGGGCCGCCGGGCCCCGCUCGGCCGCCGGCUCCGGCUGGCGCGCGCCCGCCAGAGGCCCAGCAAACUCUGAAUGUUAGUGUCGUCUGAGUACUAUAUAAUAGUUAAAACUUUCAACAACGGAUCUCUUGGUUCUG